rnacentral:misc_RNA from 1 species
GUGAAUCAUCAAAUUUUUGAACGCAUAUUGCACUCUCUGGUAUUCCGGAGAGUAUGCCUGUUUGAGGGUAAUUAAAAACAAUCUUUAACCAAUUUUUUUGGUCAAAGGAAAUGAGUUCUCCGCGUUUAUAGCGGUAGCUUGAAAUAAAUGGUCAAGUCUCAUUUAAUCGAGAAGCGGUAUAAUUAUUAUUCGCCGAAUCCUUAAUUU